CAGCUUUUCCACUCCCCUUGUGGUUCUGAUCAGAGCCUUUUACAGAGAAGAGCGUGCCAAACGCAGCGACUGUUGGGGAGUACCCAUUCCGUGGGUAGACCUGUCAGAAACCUCAAAGGAAGCAAGGAAGCAAGGCGCUGACAUUGCCUGAAGGGACCUGACAAACACCAAUGGAAGAACUGCGAUGAAUCAGGAAGAAAUUUGUAAGCAAGUCAAAAUAUUAUAGAUCAGACGUGUAUCCAAGUAAAAAUGAAUAAGGCUGGAGGGAUGGCUGAGUAGAUAGGAGCACACACUGCUCUUCCAGGGGACCCAAGUGUGGUUCCCAGCACCCAUGUCCAGCAGCUCACUACUGCCUGGAACUCCAGCUC